UCCAAGCUUCGUAUUUGUUGUUUACAAAUACAUCAUUUAUAAGAUUCCCCUGUAUGAAAAAGUCGCUCCUGAAUUGGUUCCACUUAAUAGACCAUGAACAGCAAAAUCACAGCGUGUAACGAUAUCUAUUUACUUACUUAAGCGAACAGUGCUUUUACUACUACUAACAACUAAAGGCGAUUGAAUUGGUACUUUUAGGAGCUUUGGUUUAUUCUUUAAAAAAAAUGUAUUGUAUGGAUUAUUUUUUAAUUUUCUUUUUAAAACUAAAUAUUGUGUACUUGGUUUUUUGUAACAAACAAAAUAGUCCUAAUAUUUAUGAAAUACUUGAUGGGCUUAUGACUCCUUUUAAUGUAUUUAAAAAAUCUGCGGUAGCGGCCGAAACAAAAAUAGAAUUAGAAGAGUUAAAUUUGUAUAUGAACUACAACAGAAAAUUAAUAAGUAAUUUUAUGUUAUGUAAUUAUCUUACCAAAGAAAUUAUACAUGAUACAAAAAUUUACAAAAUUUUACAUCCAUCAGUUCAAAAUGACUUUAUUUUUCAAAUAUCGGAUUUACCAAGGUAAUGAUAUAUAUUAUUAAUUAAAAUGAAUUACAAUGUAUCCUCAAUUAAUUUUAAAAAUGUUGUAUAUCAAAUAAUUUUUUGACACUUAAAUUUUCGUCGAAAUCAUUGUUGACCACUAUUUAAAAAAUGUUCCAAUGUUCCAUUCACAAUGGAAAACAUUUUACUUAAUCUUAUGCAUAAAUCAUGUAGCUAUACCUUAUAGAUUGCUUGAGAAAUAUUCAUAAAUAAAGCAGUUCAGUGUUGAUUUUAUCAGAUUCAACGACGUCAUAUGAAAUCGAAAUUGAUUGAAUCGAACGAAA